AGUGAGGCGUCCGGACUGGCCCAGGGAGGUCGGCAACGACCACCCAGGGCCGGAAAGUUCGUCAAACUUGGUCAUUUAGAGGAAGUAAUAGUCGUAACAAGGUCUCCGUAGGUGAACCUGCGGAGGGAUCAUU
rnacentral:rRNA from 1 species